rnacentral:tRNA from 1 species
UGGGCUUUAGCCAAGCGGUAAGGCACAGGACUUUGACUCCUGCAGCGCCGGUUCGAAUCCGGCAAGCUCAG